CGUCGCGAUCAGGUCGGUGCGGCUCAGGAUGAACGGCAGGCUCAUGAAAUGCGGUGUCUCGAGCACCGCCCGGCGCGUGAGGCGCCGCUUCGUCAGAUACUGCUCGAGCACCUCCUGGCUGCGGCCUUCCGCUCGCACCACCGCGUGGCCGCACGCGAGAAACCGCUCGAGCGUGAGCGGCCGCUCGGCGAGCGGGUGGCCGCGCCGCAGCAGGCAGAUGAAGCGGUGCGUGAAAAGCCGUUGCUGGAAGAAGUUCGUGCCGCCGAGAUCCGGAAAGUAGCCGACCGCGAGAUCGACGCCGCCGUCCUCGAGCGCGUGCGCGACUUCCGC
rnacentral:misc_RNA from 2 species